UUUAGAGAGAAAAAUGAGGCAGCCUCUCCAUUUGCAGGCUGGGAGCAUGCCCUGGGCCCAGGUUACAGCUCUGUCCAUGGGGGGCUAUGCAAGAAAGAGCGUGUGCUUUGCUCCUGGGAGCUCCACCCCUCCUCGAAUAUUCUGGAGAGCUCUUUUUUGGUGGGAAGACCCAGCAAAGGCUGCACACACAGCUUGCUCAAGGUCACCCCGUGAAAAGUUCAGCUGGGGAUCAAGGUCCCUUUUUUAUUUUGGGGUUUUUUUGGGGGCUAAUUCUGGGACAUGGGGACCUUCUGUCACCUUCUGAGAGGGGCUCUUGAUUGUACACUGGUGCCCGAUGCCUGAGUGUUAGAAUUCAUAUCCCAAAAGCAUUUUAAAAAUAUUUAAAUAUUUCCACUCUAGAUCACCCGAAUAUCCAACAAUAGCAGGUUAGUAAGAAGUACCUGAACUUUCCUCCACACCAUGAGAUAAUACACAGCCUUCGAAAUGAGAAUGAGGAUAUAACAAUGGAAAGAUUUCCAUGGAAAAUUUUUAAAGAGCAGAUAGAAAACUGUAUAUGUGAUAUGAUUUCAUGUAUUAAACAUAUAUAUGUUUAUACAUUCACAGAAGAAACGCCUAGAUAAUCAUGUACCAAACUCUUAAUAGUGGAUACUUUGGAUAACAGGAUUAUAAGUGCUUUUAAUUUUCUUAUAAAUAUAGUAUCUUUGCUCAUUUAAAAAUGUUUUACAUUUGCCAUAUAUCAUUUCUAUUAUUAGGGGAAAUGACUGAAGAUUCAAAAACCAUCCCUGAUAAAAAAUAUUCCAUAUCUUACUGAACUCCCAAUAUUCUUUCUCUUUCUCUGAGGUUAGGUAAUGUGGAGGGCUUGGUAAUAUUGUCAGCUUUAUAUCUCUCAGAGAUAUGAGACUAUGGUGAGCAUAGCUAUUAUUAUGUAUAGAAAAGCAGAAUAAUUAAUAGCCAGUAACCACUCCCCCUAUUUGACUGCCAGAGUGAUGAUCUAGUGGAAAAGACGCUAUGAAGCAUUUUUCUUCUACUUUCCCUGCCUAGGGGCUGGAGGGACAUCUUCAUGAAGGAAUACAGGGGCAGUCACAGGAGAAAGGAGCACCAAGGGACACGGGCAUGUGGCUGACACAGUCUUCUGGAGAGCCCAGGAUGGCAUCAGGGGGAAACCUGGCCUGAGACGGUGCCCUGAUGGACAAGGACAGGAAUACAGUCAUACCUCCUGCCUCCUUGACCAAUGACCAGGAUGAGAAGCCAACAGAUGAUGAAUAUGAAUUAAAGUUGGACAACUAGCAAGUUUAAAACUUGGACUGGGACCUAGAUCUUCCGAUUCCUACAGCUAGCCUCCCUUUCCAUCUUCUCUGUGGUCAUCACUAAUGCAGUUUUUGUCCGUCUUGUCCAGAAGCUGCAAAACAGACAACAGAAGCCAGGAAUGGUCCUGCCUUAGAUGGCUUUCAGUGCAGGAAAGUAUCAAGACAGGCUUGUUCGUAGCGUAUAUCUCUCUCCAUCUUUUCUGCUAAGCACCUCAUGUAUGCAGCUGCCAAUGUAACACCUCCAUUUGCGUGUUUAAUCACCAUCUCAAGCUAAUGUAACCAAGCACACUUCUUGGCCUUCAUCCCUGCCUCCUCUAGUCUUCUCAUCUCUCUCUCUCUCUCAUUUUGAGACAGAGUUUGGCUCUGUCACCCAGGCUGCAGUGCAGUGGCACCAUCUUGGCUCACUGCAACCUCUGCCUCCUGGGCUCAAGCCAUCCUCCCAACUCAACCUCCCGAGUAGCUGGGUCUUCCCAUCUCUUUAAAAAACAAUUCAUUCAAUUGUUCAGAACAAAACCCUAGAGUCAUAUUUAAUUCCUCCCUUCCUCUUGCACUUCUAAACCAGUCGUUCAGCUCUACUUUGAAAAUGUUUCUUUACUCAUCCAGUGCACCAAGCCACCAUCACCUCGAGGCAGAAAUAUUCAGUGGCCUCAUAAGUGGUCUCCCUAUUUGUGUUAUAUUCAAUGCAUGUCUUUUCUUACUCAAAAUCCUAUAAAGGCUUCUCUUCACCAUCCAUGACUGUUUCCCGCCUUCCUCACUAUGAUCCCAUCGCCGACCCCUCAAGACUAUGUUCCAGCCUACUUUCUGCUCCUUGAACAACACCCUUAGCCUGAUUCCCACUUUUGUGACUUCGCAUGAGUCCCCUGUCUGCCUGGACACUCUGCCCCCAAUCUUGAAGUGCUCACCCUUCCCUGUCACUCAGUUGAAAGUUAAAUUCCAUUUCCUUUUGAGGGCUUCCCUGAAUACCCACUUUUAAUUAACUCUCUGCCUCCUCCCAUCACUUCUGUUUUACCCCCUCUUUUAGUUCCUUCCCAUCUUACUUUCACAAGAGCCAGGGCUGUUUCCAACUUCUUUCCCUGUCAAGCCUCCUUAGACAGGACAGGUCCUCUGCCUCACUGUCUUUAAUCAGUAUUUGCUAAGUAAACAGAGCACUAGAGGAUCAUGUUGUCAUCAAAGAGCAGCUCUGCCUCCAAUUGCACAAGGAUCGUUGGAACCUCAUCCUUCCUUCAAGUUCUGGUUCAAAAAAUUCCAUGCUAUGCCUCACACGGCCUUGCCCAGGUGCCUGUUUUAUUUGCCUGUGUUGUCUGUUCUUUCUUCCCCACUGUCCUCAUUUGCCAUGUGGCUCAGUGGUGGCUGGAGACCUCCAUGCUGGCCCCUGGGACACCUUGGCACCUGUGGAUAUCGACCACCAGGCUUCUCCUCUGUUCAUGUCUCUGCAAGAAUGAGAACCUGCCCCCAUACCAUUUGUGCUGUGUAGGCCUCAGGAGGCAUGGACUCACGCACCCAGCUUCUUGCAAGCCCUCUGGUACGUCGCAGUGUUUACCCCCAGCUCUCUAUUACAGCCACCACCCAGCGACUCUGGUGCAGGCUCCUUAGAGAGAGGCCAGGAAACUGCCAAGGUGAUAAGUGACAGCAGGUCUCGGGGGAAGAGAGGACUUCUCUCCUUAGUAAAGAACCCGUGGAGGUCGGAAAGACACUCCAGGCUCAAAGCCAAAUUUGAAAGUUAGGCUGACAGCCCAACUAGGGCAGAUUGGAGGAGCCAGGUGGAGAGAGGAUGUGGGGGAGUCGGGAACGAGGUGGAAGGAGAAGCCUGGAAGAGCGGCCCCGCUCCUGGAGCAUGGCCAGCGUCACUUCGUCAGGACCUCGACCUUCACCCACUAGUGGGAGGGUGUUCCUCGCAUGACUUGCAGGAUCACCUGGGAAACACACAAAUGGAAGAAUUUAAAAAUAUCUGCUAGGACACCCCGUGUCCCCCACAACUCAUCACAGAGCAAACUCCUUGGCUACUUCUUGUCUUGGGCCGUCUUUUCAUCUGGCCUGUUUGCCUGACUGGACUUUGGGGUCUUUGUUCCCAGCAUCAAAAUUUCCUACCAUGGACUUUCCAUCACAGCUCCCUUCCAGUCUUCUGGAAAUUGUCAGAAGUGCCUGGAUUUGCAGGGCCUGCACAAGAUAUGCUGUCGACCUGGGAUUUUGGGGCAUUUUUGCAGUUCACACUCCAAUGUGCAACAGCAACCAAAUGGAGAUGGAGGACGUGAACAUGAGCUACUGGAGAUGCUGAUGAAACGUGUAUAAGGACUGCAAUGGUAUCUGUGUCCUGCUCAUGAAAUUGACCAGAUACUGCGGCUUCCUUUUGCUUCCCAAGGCCCGGAUUGACCUGACAAUUGAUAUGCUUUGCUCUAUACUCCAACUCCCAUUGACCAUGGGGUGAAAGCACCCUUUCUCGGUCAGCCUCACUUCUUCCCCGCAGAGGGAGGGAUUUCCUGCAGGAGCAUGGGCCCUAGGCCUUCCUUUCACACUGUCUCUUGAAAGCCUCCUCCAGAUGUGCUGCCUGGCUCAGCUCUUUGGGUGACUUUUGUUCCGUCUCAUGUGACUCAUCAAGAUUCACACAGGGCUGUGUCCCGGGCAGGGCUGGAGUUGACAUUCAGGGAGGAGAUCACUGUUCUGGAACAGAGCAGUGAUUGGUUUAAUUGAAAUCUGAUAGAUCAUCAUGUAAAAAGCUGGCAUGUAAGCAUGCUCCCCAGAGCCUACAGGGCCCUGCACAGCUUCUUGCCUGGCCAUCACGAAGAGGUGGUCCUCUUGCAUGGUUGGGGGCCUCACCUGCACCACGGACCCCCAAGCCAAACAAUGAGAUUGUACGGAGACCAUCCUGGGCAGGUCCUCACGUCAGGUCUUGCAGUUUGCACCAGGUAGCCCCGGGCUAUCCUGCCAUGCAAGAGCUGCUUUCUCAGCACAUGGAGUUCUACGGCUGCCUCGGCUGCAGAGGUCAGCUCUGGAGCCUUGCUGAGCACCUCCAUGGAUGCAUUUUGCAAAGGGCCGAGUAAGAGGCAUUAACGUGGCCUGUGCUUAGUUCCUGACAGCAAGUGGGAUUAAACCAGGAUUAAAGGAUCAGCCCUAAACCAAAGCAGACCAGUAACAGGUCUCGUGAUAAAAGCAGCCAAAUAAUAAUAAUAAAAAUCUAUUCUUGGACUU
rnacentral:antisense_RNA from 1 species